CGAAAGGCAAACUGAAACCACAAAAACCAUGAGCUCUCUCACUACAGCGGUCCUAGGCGAAGAGGAGGGUAUCAGUCUUGGGGACGGGGUAGAGCAGGGAGACACAGAAAUAAUACCCUGGGUUCAAAGAAGCUGAAAAGAAGGGACUGAGACCUCUAUAUAUACUCUCAUGAAAGAGUGGUCUAGGGGGGGAAAAAAAUCUAACCACCAACAGAGAAGACAACAUAAAAUCUUGUGUCAAUUUAGGUUGGAGGGAGAAAAAAAGAUGUCCAAUGGGAGUCUGUAACUAGGACUGCCCUCAAACCAGUCUCAGGUUGAAAUACAUACUUACAAACUUACUUACUUACAUGGUCUAAGAAAUUAACCAAAACUAAAGUGGUCCCAAGCAAGGGAUGCUUCUGCAUUGCCUAGAAGUAAAUUUAUAACAUCUCUUGGAUAUACCUCAACCAGGACCACUAAGAUAAAGCCUUACUGAAGAUGAGCUCAUAAUUCAAAAGUACAGAGGAGGGACGACUCACAAAAGCAAGAGUCGAGAGGGCCAGAUUCCUAAAGCUCUACCUGCACCGUGAAGAGAGAACACCCAUGCAGGGAUGUAUCAGAAGGACAAAGGCUCCCUUCUGCUCUGUAGCCUGACAGACAAGGGGACCAUUCCUGGGGUAGGCCAGUUACCUGCCCAGGAAACUGAUAGUACUGUUGCCUCAAAGCCUCUUCUUCUCAAAAACAAAAGAAGUGGGGCCAAUGGGCACUGGGUGUUAAGCAACUCUAUAGACAAAAGGUCUGAAUCUCAACAGAAGAGAACCUGAGCCUGAGGAAGCACAACCUUUAUACAUGUUCAUGAGGCUCAAUCCUGGCAAGUUAUGUAGACUUCCCAAAGCAUCCGAGACUGCGCUGGACAGGAGGGAAAAGUCCCCUUUGUUCUCCUCUCUGGACACUGCCUUCAGGCGUCCUACACCCUCCAUUAUCAUCAACAAAAUGGGAAGAAAUAAAGCUUCCUUCAUUCGGAUUGGUAACAAGGAAUCAAACACAGGAUCCUCGUGUUUCCUAACAACAUCCUAUUAUAAACACGCACUACAUGCUCCACAAAGCUGUGGCUGCUCCCUUUUAACUCUUUUUUACCCCCUCUUUAUAACAUCAUAUCUGGGCUAG
rnacentral:lncRNA from 1 species